GAAAGCUGAGGUUAAUAUCUAAACAUCUUCCCCUUCAGAAGCUGAGGUUUUAGGAGUACUGGCUUAGGUUAAACUAGUAAGUUUGAACAACAGUGCUUUGUUUUGAGCGGAACUUUGAAAAAGUCCAACUGAGGGAAGCCACAGGCCCAAGACCAGUGGAGAACUCCAUGGAGGGACAAAAUGCAUGAAAGGAGUGAAACCAGAGAAGGAGAUGAGACCUCAUGGAGGCCUGGCCAGCUGAAGUAGAUACCUUGGCCCUGUUUAGAGGCUGCAGAAGAUAUUUGGCUGAUAACAGCUAAAGCACUCUUACAUCAGAGGGAGAGGUUGGAAAGGGCUUCGUCCCUGACCUUUGCCCAGGUGUGGCUGUAGGGUUAAAUUCAACAUCAGUCUUGCAGAGAGGGGAAUGUUGAUUUUGUGUUUUUAGCUCGCCAACCAUUGCUGGAGAACAGAAGGCUUGUGUUUUAGUCACUUCACUGCUAAAUAUACUCUCAUUUCCAUUGUUCUGUGUUUUCAGCAUUCUUGACUUCUUUCUUGGUCUUCCCCAGAUGCCAUCACUGCAUCCAUAAUUCAAAGACUUGGGUAAAGAUGACAGGAACAGUUACAGAGAGCAGCACAGACCCUUUGAAGGCACCUAAAAGUGAACUUUAAAGAUCAAGACUAGGUUUUCACGAAGUCUUGGAUUUCUAUUCUCCUAAAUUUAAAAUCCUGCUUUGAAAAAUCAGACCAUUAAGAGAGAGAAAGAGUCAUGCAACUAAGAAGAGAACCUAGGUCUGAGAUUUGACUGCUCAUUCUGUAGCUUCUGUUGUUAAAUCUUGUCAGCUGGAACAUCUCUGGAAGCAUCCAAGGUCAGGCUGGAUGGGCCUUUGAACAACUGGAUGAAGCAGAAGAUAUCGCUGGAUCUGUGUGCGUGACAGAUCUGAAGCUGGGUUAUGGAAGCAUGGUUUGGUUGGCAUUUUUACAUUACCAUUAAUGUCAUGUAGGGAACAUGCAAGUUUAGUGAUGUAUUCUCACUUUCAUUUCUUUGU